AUCAAAUGCAAUGCGAUACCAAAUCAACAAAACAUGAUAAUUGACUCCAAAGCAACUAAAAACAAACAUAAAUAUUACCAAAGUGAUGAAAAUAUGUCGGAUUAACGGCAGGAAUUCAAUGGAAAUGGUGGCCGAUCACAACCCCAAACUUGUCUCAUUGCUUGUCCUCAAGUGAUGUAUUGAGUCCAAACAAAGGUCACCCCGACUUCAUUUUCCACAAUGCAACCUAG
rnacentral:lncRNA from 1 species